rnacentral:rRNA from 1 species
UACGUAGGGUGCAAGCGUUAAUCGGAAUUACUGGGCGUAAAGCGUGCGCAGGCGGUUUUGUAAGUCAGAUGUGAAAUCCCCGGGCUUAACCUGGGAACUGCGUUUGAAACUACAAGGCUAGAGUGUGGCAGAGGGGGGUGGAAUUCCGCGUGUAGCAGUGAAAUGCGUAGAGAUGCGGAGGAACACCGAUGGCGAAGGCGGCCUGCUGGGCAGUAGCUGACACUGAGGCGCGACAGCGUGGGGAGCAAACAGG